AAAUAUCAUAAGGUGGUGGUGCAUCUGGACUAGAAUAGGAUAGAAAUGUAUAAGGUUCCCCUUGGGGAGGCUGAUAUGGAAAUCCUCCUGGGGCAAUUAUGGGUGGAGCAGCACCUGGGGCAGGUUGAUAAGGAAAUCCUCCUGGGGCAGUUAUGGGUGGAGCAGCACCUGGGGCAGGUUGAUAAGGAAAUCCUCCUGGGCCAGGUAUGGGUGGGGCAGCACCUGGGGCAAUUUGAUA